UCCCUGGAAGUCCAGUGGCUAGGACUCAGUGCUUUCAUUGCUGAGGGCUUGGGUUCAAUCCCUGGUCAGGGAA
rnacentral:tRNA from 1 species